GGUGACGACGGGGCGUGACCCGAAGAAAUGGAUGGCGGUGCAGGCUGGCUCCUGUAGUCCGAAGUUCACUGUGCAAGCUUUCAGUGCUGCCGCUGGCGGGCUUCUGGGGCCUGGGACGCCUACAUCGCCGCAUUCGCUGGGUCCUUACCGCCCUCCGAGGCUUCUCGCUUUCCGUAGAGAGGUGACGAACAACUCGGCCGUUUAAGGUGUAGGUGGGGACCGGGGAAACAGAAAAGCCGAGUCCUCCGCCUCAUCGGGUUUCCGGAGCUGCUUUUUCUGUUUCGCGGGAUCUUAAAUGCGGUUUAGCCUCUCCGAUGUAACUUAGCGAGGAUCAGAGAAAGCGCCGCCGACCUCGCCAAAUACCCGCCUUCCGCACUCCAGAUCCCUGGUCCUCUGGAUUAAGCAAAGCCAACUGUCUACUGGUAAACUACUCUCGGAGGCAGGAGUGGCAGAGGAGCUCUCCGAGUUCCAGACCAGCCUGAUCUAUAAAGCGAGGCCAGGACGGCCAGGGCUGGUUGCACAGAGAAACGCUGUCUCCAAAAACAAACAAACAAAAACAAAACAAAAGCUAGCCCCAGAGACUCACUGCUAUCUCAAAAUGUCCCACAAAGUGAACAUAUUGAACAUCUUUAUACCCUUGCCUCCGGCCAGUCUUUCUCACUUCAACACGUGUUUUUAACCAGACCCUUCCUCUGCAAUCACCUUCCUCCAAGACUUUGAAUCUCGUCCCUGAAUGACUUCCUUCGAUGUUCCUACUGCUACCCUUUUUUUCUCCUCCCUGCUACUGCAUUCACUCAGCAAAUAUCCUUUAAAAAGCAAACCAAACACAUAUAGGGACAGAGGCAGAAAGAUCAGGAGUUCAAGCGUCCAUUUCAUACAUUUCCAGUUU
rnacentral:lncRNA from 1 species